rnacentral:rRNA from 1 species
UACAGAGGGGGCAAGCGUUGUUCGGAAUUACUGGGCGUAAAGGGCGCGUAGGCGGCCUGUUAAGUCGAACGUGAAAUCCCCGGGCUCAACCCGGGAACUGCGUCCGAUACUGGAAGGCUUGAAUCCGGGAGAGGGAUGUGGAAUUCCAGGUGUAGCGGUGAAAUGCGUAGAUAUCUGGAGGAACACCGGUGGCGAAGGCGGCAUCCUGGACCGGUAUUGACGCUGAGGAGCGAAAGCGUGGGGAGCGAACAGG